AGCGGCGGACGGGUGAGUAACACGUGAGCGAUCUACCCACUGGUGGGGGACAACCCAGGGAAACUUGGACUAAUACCGCAUAUGGCGUGGGCUUUGAAGCCCGGCGUCAAAGCUGGCCUCUCCUUGGAAGCUAGCGCCAGUGGAUGAGCUCGCGGCCUAUCAGCUAGUUGGUAGGGUAACGGCCUACCAAGGCGAUGACGGGUAGCUGGCGUGAGAGCGCGACCAGCCACACUGGGACUGAGACACGGCCCAGACUCCUACGGGAGGCAGCAGUGGGGAAUAUUGCGCAAUGGGCGAAAGCCUGACGCAGCGACGCCGCGUGGGGGAGGAAGGCCUCAGGGUUGUAAACCCCUGUCAGGUGGGACGAACCCCGGAUCGGCGAAUAGGCGGUCCGACUGACGGUACCACCAGAGGAAGCUCCGGCUAACUCCGUGCCAGCAGCCGCGGUAAUACGGAGGGAGCAAGCGUUGUUCGGAAUCACUGGGCGUAAAGGGCGCGUAGGCGGCCGGGUAAGUCGGAUGUGAAAUGCCGGGGCUCAACCCCGAGCACUGCAUCCGAUACUGCCUGGCUGGAGAGAGGUAGGGGCGAGUGGAAUUCCCGGAGUAGCGGUGGAAUGCGUAGAUAUCGGGAAGAACACCUGUGGCGAAGGCGGCUCGCUGGACCUUUUCUGA
rnacentral:rRNA from 1 species